CCUACGGGUGGCAGCAGUGAGGAAUAUUGGUCAAUGGGCGCUAGCCUGAACCAGCCAAGUAGCGUGAAGGAUGACUGCCCUAUGGGUUGUAAACUUCUUGUCUAUGGGAAUAAAGUGCAGUAUGUAUACUGCUCUGCAUGUACCUUAUGAAUAAGCAUCGGCUGACUCCGUGCCAGCAGCCGCGGUAAUAUGGGGGAUUCGAGCGUUUUCCGGGUUUAUUGGGUUUAAAGGGAGCGUAGGCGGGUUGUUAAGUCAGUUGUGAAAGUUUGCGGCUCAACCGUAUAAUUGCAGUUGAUACUGGCAUCCUUGAGGACAGUAGAGGUAGGCGGAAUUCGUGGUGUAGCGGUGAAAUGCUGAGAUAUCACGAAGAACUCCGAUUGCGAAGGCAGCCUGCUGGACUGUAACUGACGCUGAUGCUCGAAAGUGUGGGUAUCAAACAGGAUUAGAUACCCGUGUAGUC
rnacentral:rRNA from 1 species